AUGGGGAGGAGGGGAUGUGGUGCACCUUUGCGGCUCGCUGUCUGGCUUAUCAGGGACCUUGCAGACGGGAUGACAGACCUGCCCUUCCGUCUCUGUCUUUCCGGGGCGCCUGCCAGGUUCCGCUCAGCCCUGCCCACACGGCCUGCCUCAUCCCUCCCACACGCGCCGCUGUCGCCUAGCAACCGGGCUUGCCCGCCAGCAUCCUGCAGCCUGAGGUCCCUGCCUGCAGCAGCCCAGCUUCUCAGGCGCCAGCCCGCUGCCGCUGCCCCAGCUGAAGUUUCUCACCUCGAGACCAUUACAGCAAGCUCCUGGGACGAGAUGGAAACAAAUGGUGUCUUCUUAGCAGCUGGGGGCAGUUCCUCUAAGGGAGGGACUCACUUUGGGGGGUCAGAGUGUGACUUCAAAUAUUAACAUAUUUAUUGAGCAACUACUGUGUCCCUAGCUUGUUCUAGACCUGGGGAUCCUGGGUGAGUAAGGGAGACUGACUUCCUGCCACAGAGAAUUCGCAAAUGACUUUAGUCAGUGCUGUGAGCUGUAAAAAAAAUAACCAGUGUGAUGUGACACCUCCUUGAGGUGGUCAAGGAGGCCUCUCUGAGGAGGUGACAUCUGAGACCCAAAGGAGGGAGGAGUCCCUGGCCAUACAGGUCAGGAGACAAGCUUAUUAGGCAGUGGGAACAGCACGUGCAAAGGCCCUGUGGCAGGAACAAGUUUGGCUGGUCUGAGGAGCGGCAGAGACUGGCAGGUGUGAAGUGGAGUUCUUGAGGGAGAGGGUGGCAGGUGGGUUCUUUGUUGGGGUUCGGGGUUUUAUCCUAGGUGCAAUCUUGAGUUUUAUCCUGAGCGCCCACUGCUGGGGGUUGAAGCAGCAGACGGCCACUGAGAAUGGAGAGCAGUAGAAGUGGGACUGAGAGGACUUCCUGAUGGCUUGGCCCCCAGCACAAAGAAACCCAAGAGGGCUCCCCGGUGGUGGUGGCGGCCAGCCUGGGCAGCUGGGUGAACCGCAGAGCUGCCGACCAAGAUGCGGGUGUGGGGGUUGUGUGAGGUGGAGAAUGCUGGGCCCUCCCUG
rnacentral:lncRNA from 1 species